UACGGAGGGUGCAAGCGUUAUCCGGAUUUAUUGGGUUUAAAGGGUCCGUAGGCGGAUUUAUAAGUCAGUGGUGAAAUCCUGCAGCUCAACUGUAGAACUGCCAUUGAUACUGUAAGUCUUGAAUUCGGUUGAAGUGGGCGGAAUAUGGCAUGUAGCGGUGAAAUGCUUAGAUAUGCCAUAGAACACCGAUUGCGUAGGCAGCUCACUAAGCCUGGAUUGACGCUGAGGGACGAAAGCGUGGGUAGCGAACAGG
rnacentral:rRNA from 1 species